GGGUUGUGAGGUUAAGCGACUAAGCGUACACGGUGGAUGCCCUGGCAGUCAGAGGCGAUGAAGGACGUGCUAAUCUGCGAUAAGCGUCGGUAAGGUGAUAUGAACCGUUAUAACCGGCGAUUUCCGAAUGGGGAAACCCAGUGUGAUUCGUCACACUAUCAUUAACUGAAUCCAUAGGUUAAUGAGGCGAACCGGGGGAACUGAAACAUCUAAGUACCCCGAGGAAAAGAAAUCAACCGAGAUUCCCCCAGUAGCGGCGAGCGNNCCAUCCUCCAAGGCUAAAUACUCCUGACUGACCGAUAGUGAACCAGUACCGUGAGGGAAAGGCGAAAAGAACCCCGGCGAGGGGAGUGAAAAAGAACCUGAAACCGUGUACGUACAAGCAGUGGGAGCACGCUUAGGCGUGUGACUGCGUACCUUUUGUAUAAUGGGUCAGCGACUUAUAUUCUGUAGCAAGGUUAACCGAAUAGGGGAGCCGAAGGGAAACCGAGUCUUAACUGGGCGUUAAGUUGCAGGGUAUAGACCCGAAACCCGGUGAUCUAGCCAUGGGCAGGUUGAAGGUUGGGUAACACUAACUGGAGGACCGAACCGACUAAUGUUGAAAAAUUAGCGGAUGACUUGUGGCUGGGGGUGAAAGGCCAAUCAAACCGGGAGAUAGCUGGUUCUCCCCGAAAGCUAUUUAGGUAGCGCCUCGUGAAUUCAUCUCCGGGGGUAGAGCACUGUUUCGGCAAGGGGGUCAUCCCGACUUACCAACCCGAUGCAAACUGCGAAUACCGGAGAAUGUUAUCACGGGAGACACACGGCGGGUGCUAACGUCCGUCGUGAAGAGGGAAACAACCCAGACCGCCAGCUAAGGUCCCAAAGUCAUGGUUAAGUGGGAAACGAUGUGGGAAGGCCCAGACAGCCAGGAUGUUGGCUUAGAAGCAGCCAUCAUUUAAAGAAAGCGUAAUAGCUCACUGGUCGAGUCGGCCUGCGCGGAAGAUGUAACGGGGCUAAACCAUGCACCGAAGCUGCGGCAGCGACGCUUAUGCGUUGUUGGGUAGGGGAGCGUUCUGUAAGCCUGCGAAGGUGUGCUGUGAGGCAUGCUGGAGGUAUCAGAAGUGCGAAUGCUGACAUAAGUAACGAUAAAGCGGGUGAAAAGCCCGCUCGCCGGAAGACCAAGGGUUCCUGUCCAACGUUAAUCGGGGCAGGGUGAGUCGACCCCUAAGGCGAGGCCGAAAGGCGUAGUCGAUGGGAAACAGGUUAAUAUUCCUGUACUUGGUGUUACUGCGAAGGGGGGACGGAGAAGGCUAUGUUGGCCGGGCGACGGUUGUCCCGGUUUAAGCGUGUAGGCUGGUUUUCCAGGCAAAUCCGGAAAAUCAAGGCUGAGGCGUGAUGACGAGGCACUACGGUGCUGAAGCAACAAAUGCCCUGCUUCCAGGAAAAGCCUCUAAGCAUCAGGUAACAUCAAAUCGUACCCCAAACCGACACAGGUGGUCAGGUAGAGAAUACCAAGGCGCUUGAGAGAACUCGGGUGAAGGAACUAGGCAAAAUGGUGCCGUAACUUCGGGAGAAGGCACGCUGAUAUGUAGGUGAAGUCCCUUGCGGAUGGAGCUGAAAUCAGUCGAAGAUACCAGCUGGCUGCAACUGUUUAUUAAAAACACAGCACUGUGCAAACACGAAAGUGGACGUAUACGGUGUGACGCCUGCCCGGUGCCGGAAGGUUAAUUGAUGGGGUCAGCGCAAGCGAAGCUCUUGAUCGAAGCCCCGGUAAACGGCGGCCGUAACUAUAACGGUCCUAAGGUAGCGAAAUUCCUUGUCGGGUAAGUUCCGACCUGCACGAAUGGCGUAAUGAUGGCCAGGCUGUCUCCACCCGAGACUCAGUGAAAUUGAACUCGCUGUGAAGAUGCAGUGUACCCGCGGCAAGACGGAAAGACCCCGUGAACCUUUACUAUAGCUUGACACUGAACAUUGAGCCUUGAUGUGUAGGAUAGGUGGGAGGCUUUGAAGUGUGGACGCCAGUCUGCAUGGAGCCGGCCUUGAAAUACCACCCUUUAAUGUUUGAUGUUCUAACGUGGACCCGUGAUCCGGGUUGCGGACAGUGUCUGGUGGGUAGUUUGACUGGGGCGGUCUCCUCCUAAAGAGUAACGGAGGAGCACGAAGGUUGGCUAAUCCUGGUCGGACAUCAGGAGGUUAGUGCAAUGGCAUAAGCCAGCUUGACUGCGAGCGUGACGGCGCGAGCAGGUGCGAAAGCAGGUCAUAGUGAUCCGGUGGUUCUGAAUGGAAGGGCCAUCGCUCAACGGAUAAAAGGUACUCCGGGGAUAACAGGCUGAUACCGCCCAAGAGUUCAUAUCGACGGCGGUGUUUGGCACCUCGAUGUCGGCUCAUCACAUCCUGGGGCUGAAGUAGGUCCCAAGGGUAUGGCUGUUCGCCAUUUAAAGUGGUACGCGAGCUGGGUUUAGAACGUCGUGAGACAGUUCGGUCCCUAUCUGCCGUGGGCGCUGGAGAACUGAGGGGGGCUGCUCCUAGUACGAGAGGACCGGAGUGGACGCAUCACUGGUGUUCGGGUUGUCAUGCCAAUGGCACUGCCCGGUAGCUAAAUGCGGAAGAGAUAAGUGCUGAAAGCAUCUAAGCACGAAACUUGCCCCGAGAUGAGUUCUCCCUGACCCUUUAAGGGUCCUGAAGGAACGUUGAAGACGACGACGUUGAUAGGCCGGGUGUGUAAGCGCAGCGAUGCGUUGAGCUAACCGGUACUAAUGAACCGUGAGGCUUAACCUUACAACGCCGAAG
rnacentral:rRNA from 1 species